AUGGAAUUGAUGAUUAUUUCCCCAGAUGAUCGAAUUUGAUUAUACUGUGCGCUAUUUAAACAUUCUUCUAAAUUUUUAGGAGAAUCCAAGCCAGAAAUCUGAUCCAU